AAGACCUUGCGCUUUUGGAGCGGCCGAUGUCUGAUUAGCUAGUUGGUGGGGUAAUGGCCUACCAAAGCUUCGAUCAGUAGCUGGUCUGAGAGGACGGCCAGCCACACUGGGACUGAGACACGGCCCAGACUCCUACGGGAGGCAGCAGUGGGGAAUUUUGGACAAUGGGCGCAAGCCUGAUCCAGCCAUGCCGCGUGAGUGAAGAAGGCCUUCGGGUUGUAAAGCUCUUUCAGCCGGGAAGAAAAGGUUGCGAUUAAUAAUCGCAAUUGAUGACGGUACCGGAAGAAGAAGCACCGGCUAACUACGUGCCAGCAGCCGCGGUAAUACGUAGGGUGCGAGCGUUAAUCGGAAUUACUGGGCGUAAAGGGUGCGCAGGCGGUUUUGUAAGUCAGAUGUGAAAUCCCCGGGCUUAGCCUGGGAACU
rnacentral:rRNA from 1 species